rnacentral:siRNA from 1 species
CCAUGUGAUCCUUCAAGCUUGC